UCUUGCUUUAGGAGCGGCCGAUGUCGGAUUAGCUAGUUGGUGAGGUAAAGGCGUCACCAAGGCGACGAUCCGUAGCGGGUCUGAGAGGAUGAUCCGCCACACUGGGACUGAGACACGGCCCAGACUCCUACGGGAGGCAGCAGUGGGGAAUUUUGGACAAUGGGCGCAAGCCUGAUCCAGCCAUGCCGCGUGAGUGAAGAAGGCCUUCGGGUUGUAAAGCUCUUUCGGUGGGGAAGAAAUUGCUUCGGUUAAUACCUGGAGUAGAUGACGGUACCCGCAUAAGAAGCACCGGCUAACUACGUG
rnacentral:rRNA from 1 species